UACGUAGGGGGCAAGCGUUGUCCGGAUUUAUUGGGCGUAAAGAGCGUGUAGGCGGCCCGACCAGUCCGCUGUGAAAGUCCAGGGCUCAACCCUGGAAUGCCGGUGGAUACUGUCGGGCUAGAGUCCGGAAGGGGCGAGUGGAAUUCCUGGUGUAGCGGUGAAAUGCGUAGAUAUCGGGGGAAGCACCGAUCGGUGCGAAGGCGGCGACCUGGUCCUUUUACUGACGCUGAGGCGCGAAAGCGUGGGGAGCAAACAGG
rnacentral:rRNA from 1 species